GGGGCGGAUGUAGCCAAGUGGAUUAAGGCAGUGGA
rnacentral:tRNA from 6 species